rnacentral:rRNA from 1 species
AAAUUGAAGAGUUUGAUCAUGGCUCAGAUUGAACGCUGGCGGCAGGCCUAACACAUGCAAGUCGAGCGGUAGCACAGAGAGCUUGCUCUCGGGUGACGAGCGGCGGACGGGUGAGUAAUGUCUGGGAAACUGCCUGAUGGAGGGGGAUAACUACUGGAAACGGUAGCUAAUACCGCAUAACGUCGCAAGACCAAAGUGGGGGACCUUCGGGCCUCAUGCCAUCAGAUGUGCCCAGAUGGGAUUAGCUAGUAGGUGGGGUAAUGGCUCACCUAGGCGACGAUCCCUAGCUGGUCUGAGAGGAUGACCAGCCACACUGGAACUGAGACACGGUCCAGACUCCUACGGGAGGCAGCAGUGGGGAAUAUUGCACAAUGGGCGCAAGCCUGAUGCAGCCAUGCCGCGUGUAUGAAGAAGGCCUUCGGGUUGUAAAGUACUUUCAGCGAGGAGGAAGGCAUUAAGGUUAAUAACCUUAGUGAUUGACGUUACUCGCAGAAGAAGCACCGGCUAACUCCGUGCCAGCAGCCGCGGUAAUACGGAGGGUGCAAGCGUUAAUCGGAAUUACUGGGCGUAAAGCGCACGCAGGCGGUCUGUUAAGUCAGAUGUGAAAUCCCCGGGCUCAACCUGGGAACUGCAUUUGAAACUGGCAGGCUUGAGUCUUGUAGAGGGGGGUAGAAUUCCAGGUGUAGCGGUGAAAUGCGUAGAGAUCUGGAGGAAUACCGGUGGCGAAGGCGGCCCCUGGACAAAGACUGACGCUCAGGUGCGAAAGCGUGGGGAGCAAACAGGAUUAGAUACCCUGGUAGUCCACGCUGUAAACGAUGUCGACUUGGAGGUUGUUCCCUUGAGGAGUGGCUUCCGGAGCUAACGCGUUAAGUCGACCGCCUGGGGAGUACGGCCGCAAGGUUAAAACUCAAAUGAAUUGACGGGGGCCCGCACAAGCGGUGGAGCAUGUGGUUUAAUUCGAUGCAACGCGAAGAACCUUACCUACUCUUGACAUCCAGAGAACUUAGCAGAGAUGCUUUGGUGCCUUCGGGAACUCUGAGACAGGUGCUGCAUGGCUGUCGUCAGCUCGUGUUGUGAAAUGUUGGGUUAAGUCCCGCAACGAGCGCAACCCUUAUCCUUUGUUGCCAGCGGUCCGGCCGGGAACUCAAAGGAGACUGCCAGUGAUAAACUGGAGGAAGGUGGGGAUGACGUCAAGUCAUCAUGGCCCUUACGAGUAGGGCUACACACGUGCUACAAUGGCAUAUACAAAGAGAAGCGACCUCGCGAGAGCAAGCGGACCUCAUAAAGUAUGUCGUAGUCCGGAUUGGAGUCUGCAACUCGACUCCAUGAAGUCGGAAUCGCUAGUAAUCGUAGAUCAGAAUGCUACGGUGAAUACGUUCCCGGGCCUUGUACACACCGCCCGUCACACCAUGGGAGUGGGUUGCAAAAGAAGUAGGUAGCUUAACCUUCGGGAGGGCGCUUACCACUUUGUGAUUCAUGACUGGGGUGAAGUCGUAACAAGGUAACCGUAGGGGAACCUGCGGUUGGAUCACCUCCUUA